UAUUUCUCUUUUCUAACUUUUUUUCUUCUUCUUGAACAUUUACAGUAUUUUCUAGCAAAUUUAUUUUACUAAAAAUAUGCAUGUCAACUAUUGAAAUUAAACCUGCAAUUUUCUUGAAAAUUGAUGUUUCAAUGUUGGGGAUCUUGUUAAUGUCUAAAAAAAGAAAGUUGUUACGGUGAUGAUGCUUAAAAGCUUGAGAAGUUGAUGUUGAUUUUGAUUCUUCCCUCUAAAUUUUGCUCAAUCUUCGUCUGCAAUUUUCCUUUGGCCAUAUUUUUCAGCGAGUGUAUCAAUGACUUCAAAUUGCCCUCAACUCUAGCCAGUAUCCAGCACAUCAGAGUUCAGGUUAUACCACAAACUGCUCACAACUGUUGGUUUUGAUUCUCAACGCCAUGGACAAAGAUCGACAGAACUAUUAAGAUAGACAAUGUUCGGAGGCAUUGAGGAAAGGAAAAGUAUUGGAAAAGUAGCUUGCUUGACUUCGGUUCUUCGGUGGAGCGAGUGUAUCAAUUUUCCACAGCUCUAGCCAGUAUCUAGCACAUCAGAGUUCAGGGUGAGCUAUUAUUUCUAGCUCGUUGGAUUCUCUCAUUCACGUCUUGAUGUCCUUGAAAUUUCGAACAUGAACAAUGUUUUUACUUAUUUUGGUUUCUUAAAUACUCUUAGAUUUGGUAAGUUUAGAAUACAUGUCCUUGAUAUGAUGACUUUCAGGUUUUGGGAAAUGAUAUUCCAUAAGAUUUUGAAUUUGUACGUUAUGCUUGUAUUUUGUAAGUUAGGUUAUUUUGGUUGGUUUGGCCACUUAGGAGGUUAAGUAUGGUGUCACUCACGACUCGCUUUGGGUCAUGACAAAACUAAAUGUGACAAGUAAAAGCGAACGGACGAAGUAUUUAAUAACUUUGUCCUAGU